rnacentral:lncRNA from 1 species
UACCCUGUAACACCAAAUAAUCAAGCUUACUUAGUGUGCACACAUCUGUGAAUGUGCAGUGAAUAUGUGGGCACAUUAUUGAUACCAUUCUUUAGCAUAGAGGGAGAACCUAGACUGUUUUUUUCAGUUAAGGCUCUAGUCUAAAUCAUGUAAACAUACAUUUUAGUUGGUAAAUAGAAAUGGGCCUGUGAAUUGAGAGGAAAAGUAUCCAGAGUGGUGGAUUUCCGUUUGACUUUCGCCAUAAUGCUUUGUCCACCUCAACUGAGAGUGAACAGUAAGUAUUGGUAGAACAGCAAAUAGCUUCAUCUGAGUAGGGUGUUUGGGACUCAUGCACAUGACAAGAUUGGAAAGGCAGAUUGGGUAUAGGGUACCUUGGGGCCAGGUUUAGGAGUUUGGAAUUUAUCUUAUAGGCUACCCUUUCCUGGAAGUCAGGUAUGUGGAUAGUAGAAUUUAUUCCUUGCUUGAAGGAAGUUUUACUACGCCAGAAUCUCAGAAGCAAAUAAGAAAGUAGCAUUUCAAAUCUCAGAAGUCAGUAAGAAAGCAAAAGAAGAAGCAAAUGGGAGCAGUCAAGGAAUGUUAAGAAGGGACGAGA